GACGAACGCUGGCGGCGUGCUUAACACAUGCAAGUCGAACGAAGAGCGAUGGAAGCUUGCUUCUAUCAAUCUUAGUGGCGAACGGGUGAGUAACGCGUAAUCAACCUGCCCUUCAGAGGGGGACAACAGUUGGAAACGACUGCUAACACCGCAUACGAUCUAAUCUCGGCAUCGAGGAUAGAUGAAAGGUGGCCUCUACAUGUAAGCUAUCACUGAAGGAGGGGAUUGCGUCUGAUUAGCAAGUUGGAGGGGUAACGGCCCACCAAGGCGAUGAUCAGUAGCCGGUCUGAGAGGAUGAACGGCCACAUUGGGACUGAGACACGGCCCAGACUCCUACGGGAGGCAGCAGUGGGGAAUCUUCCGCAAUGGACGAAAGUCUGACGGAGCAACGCCGCGUGAGUGAUGACGGCCUUCGGGUUGUAAAGCUCUGUUAAUCGGGACGAAAGGCCUUCUUGCGAAUAGUGAGAAAGGAAUUGACGGACCCGGAAUAA
rnacentral:rRNA from 1 species